AAGACCUUGCACUUUUGGAGCGGCCGAUGUCUGAUUAGCUAGUUGGUGGGGUAAUGGCCUACCAAAGCUUCGAUCAGUAGCUGGUCUGAGAGGACGGCCAGCCACACUGGGACUGAGACACGGCCCAGACUCCUACGGGAGGCAGCAGUGGGGAAUUUUGGACAAUGGGCGCAAGCCUGAUCCAGCCAUGCCGCGUGAGUGAAGAAGGCCUUCGGGUUGUAAAGCUCUUUCAGCCGGAAAGAAAAGGUUGCGACUAAUAAUCGCAAUCCAUGACGGUACCGAAAGAAGAAGCACCGGCUAACUACGUGCCAGCAGCCGCGGUAAUACGUAGGGUGCGAGCGUUAAUCGGAAUUACUGGGCGUAAAGGGUGCGCAGGCGGUUUUGUAAGUCAGAUGUGAAAUCCCCGGGCUUAACCUGGGAACU
rnacentral:rRNA from 1 species